AUUGAACGCUGGCGGUAUGCCUAACACAUGCAAGUCGAACGGUAACAGAAGAAGCCUAGCUUUUUGCUGACGAGUGGCGGACGGGUGAGUAACGCGUGGGAAUCUACCUUAUAGUUGGGGAUAGCCCGGAGAAAUCCGGAUUAAUACCGAAUAAGAUCUACGGAUGAAAAGGUGCCUCUGCUUGCAAGCACUUGCUAUGAGAUGAGCCCGCGUUAGAUUAGUUUGUUGGUGGGGUAACGGCCUACCAAGACUGCGAUCUAUAGCUGGUUUGAGAGGAUGAUCAGCCACAUUGGGACUGAGACACGGCCCAGACUCCUACGGGAGGCAGCAGUGGGGAAUAUUGGACAAUGGGCGCAAGCCUGAUCCAGCAAUACCGCGUGUGUGAAGAAGGCCUUAGGGUUGUAAAGCACUUUUAUAUGGGAAGAAGGUGUUUGUGUUAAUAGCACAAGCAAUUGACGGUACCAUAAGAAUAAGCACCGGCUAACUCCG
rnacentral:rRNA from 1 species